rnacentral:tRNA from 1 species
AAAAAGAUAAGCUAAAAAAGCUAAUGGACUCAUAACCCAUUUAUGAAAAUUAAUUCUCUUUUUA